GGAAUAGCUCAGUGAUAGAGCACAUGCUUAGCAUGCAUGAGGUCAUGGGUUCCAUCCCCAGUAUGUCCG
rnacentral:tRNA from 1 species